rnacentral:lncRNA from 1 species
AAAAAGUAUAUAAAUAUUAAAUACAUAGUCAGAGAUAUACUUUUCAUGUAUAUAAUAUUAAUUAUUAUGCCUUACACUUAACAUUUUCAAGUUUCUAAAAUUCUAAACAUCUGCAGCAUAAAAGGUAUAUAAAUACACAUAGUCAGAGAUAUAAUUCUCAACAUGGUGUCACUCAUCAAAGUAUUACUUUUGGAAUAUUUGUGNNN